GUUCUUUCCAAGAACAAUAAUCCUUCAUCAACUCAUAACCACAAUAUACAACCUUGCACUCUUAAAAGACUACUCAAAAUACAAUAAUUUCCAUCCAACACCAGGAAUAAUAGACUUCACUCCAACCAAUCUGGAUUCACAGAAUCUAUGUAAUCACAGACUUUCUCUGUCUAAAACUCACACAACUCUCAAUAAACAAAAAUCAUAAUCUUCCAUCCAUAAUCAAUCUUCCAAUAACUUCUCAUAUAAUUCAAUCAUAUAAUACUUCAAUUACAUAAUCAAUAAUUGAUAAAUCAAUCUCUGAUUUAUUCCACAGAUUCACUUCUCAGUAUUCAAAAAGUAUCCAUUACUCUUCAAUAAUAAAAAAAAUAAAAAAAACAAAGAGGUAGCACCAAACUUAACCUCGGCUUAUGACUAUAACAGUCUAGCCUCCAACAAACUUCUACAACUUUUAUAUAAUUGCUAUUGAUUUCCAAAUCCUAAUCGUAAUCCUGUAGUAAACAGCUUUUAAUAAAUAAAUCAACCAUCCGUCCUCAUCAACUGACUAUUCUAUGGGCUAUUAAUCUAUUUUAUCAAUAUCUUAUAAAAACGAACUAAUAUCUAUUCUACAUAGCCCCAC
rnacentral:lncRNA from 1 species